rnacentral:rRNA from 1 species
AUUGAACGCUGGCGGCAGGCCUAACACAUGCAAGUCGAGCGGAGCGGCGUACGGGUGAGUAAUGCCUAGGAAUCUGCCUGGUCGUGGGGGCUAACGUCCGGAAACGGGCGCUAAUACCGCAUACUAUCAGAUGAGCCUAGGUCGGAUUAGGUAGGUGGUGGGGUAAAGGCCUACAAAGGCGACGAUCCGUACCUGGUCUGAGAGGAUGAUCAGUCACACGGGCACGGAGACACGGUCCAGAGUCCUACGGGAGGCAGCAGUGGAGAAUAUUGGACAAUGGGCGAAAGGCUGAUACAGCCAUGCCGCGUGUGUGAAGAAGGUCUUCGGAUUGUAAGGCACUUUAAGUUGGGAGGCGUUACCAACAGAAGAAGCACCGGCUAACUUCGUGCCAGCAGCCGCGGUAAUUC